rnacentral:rRNA from 1 species
AAUCAACGCUGGCGGCGUGCCUAACACAUGCAAGUCGUACGCGAAAGGGGCUUCGGCCCUGAGUAGAGUGGCGAACGGGUGAGUAACACGUGGGUGAUCUACCUUCGAGUGGGGGAUAACGUCCCGAAAGGGACGCUAAUACCGCAUGACGUUCCGGGGUUAAAGACCUGGAAACCAAAGCCGGGGACCGCAAGGCCUGGCGCUCGUAGAGGAGCCCGCGUCCGAUUAGCUAGUUGGCGGGGUAAUGGCCCACCAAGGCGACGAUCGGUAGCCGGCCUGAGAGGGCGGACGGCCACACUGGAACUGAGACACGGUCCAGACUCCCACGGGAGGCAGCAGUGGGGAAUUGUUCACAAUGGGCGCAAGCCUGAUGACGCAACGCCGCGUGGGGGAUGAAGGUCUUCGGAUUGUAAACCCUUGUCGAGCGGGAAGAACGACUCGCGCAUUAACACUGCGCGGGACUGACGGUACCGCUAAAGGAAGCCACGGCUAACUCUGUGCCAGCAGCCGCGGUAAUACAGAGGUGGCAAGCGUUGUUUCGGAAUUACUGGGCGUAAAGGGCGCGUAGGCGGCCAUCUAAGUCUGACGUGAAAUCCCCCGGCUUAACCUGGGAACUGCGUCUGAUACUGGAAGGCUUCGAGUUUUGGGAGAGGGAUGUGGAAU